UGCAAAACCACUUUGCCAAAGAUGGCAUCCAUUGAAUCCUCAGUGUCUAAACAGCGCUGUCAAAAGGCAUGGACUGAACUUCAUGUCAUCAUUCUACAUGUUUCCGAAAUGGGAACAUGUUAAAACCCUUCCAGACAAGGUAUCUCCACAUUUACACAAUGGACAUUUGGCUAUGCUUUACUUGAAACAAGUUUCUACAGGCAGGCCUUUCACAGCAGGUCCAGAUAACUUGCAACCAAGAGUUUUGAAAGAUCUAGCUGGGGAGCUCGCUGGACCGUUAAUCUUAAUUUUCAAUAAUGGAGCACAGGAGAAGUUUCAGAAGACUGGAAAAAAGCUAAUGUUGUGACAGUUUUUAAAAAGGGUAAAACGGGAUGACUCAGGUGAUCUGUUUUGUUUGGUGUACCAGUCUGAAUGGUGAUACCUCAGUAUGUGAUCAGUCAGGCGAUUAGAUUUGUUGACAUCAAAUACUGGCUUAUAUGGCUGUUGAAAAGAAAAUCAAGUAUCUUGUGUUUUGAAUGCUGGCUUCAUUUUGUGUAGAGUGGGUGGUAAUCUACCAGACAAUUUCCAAUCUGUUUCAACUGAAUCCAGAAAAUCCAUAUAUCAAGAUUCCUCACCUGAGAAUUCAGGACCAGUUUGCUAUGGAGUUCACAGGGCUUUGUCUAUUAGUGCCUUUUAUAUGAAGAUCUCAAAUUAAUUUAAUGGGAUCUCAAUUUUCCUGUGAG